rnacentral:rRNA from 1 species
UACGUAGGGGGCAAGCGUUGUCCGGAUUUAUUGGGCGUAAAGAGCUCGUAGGCGGUUGGGCAAGUCACGUGUGAAAUCUCCACGCUCAACGUGGAGGCGCCACGUGAGACUGCCCCUGACUCGAGUCCGGUAGGGGAGCGUGGAAUUCCCGGUGUAGCGGUGAAAUGACGUUGAUAUCGAUAGGAAUCUCCGGGAUGGCGA